CAUGUGGUUUAAUUCGAUGAUACGCGAGGAACCUUACCUGGGCUUAAAUGUAGAGUGCAUUUUUUAGAGAUAGAAAUUCCCUUCGGGGCUUUCUGCAAGGUGCUGCAUGGUUGUCGUCAGCUCGUGCCGUGAGGUGUCGGGUUAAGUCCCAUAACGAGCGCAACCCUUAUCGUUAGUUGCCAUCUGGUAAUGCAGGGGACCCUAGCGAAACUGCCGCCGUAAGGUGAGAGGAAGGUGGGGAUGACGUCAAAUCAGCACGGCCCUUAUGUCCAGGGCUACACACGUGUUACAAUGGUCGGUACAGAGGGCAGCUACCUGGUGACAGGAUGCUAAUCUCGAAAACCGGUCUCAGUUCGGAUCGAAGUCUGCAACUCGACUUCGUGAAGCUGGAUUCGCUAGUAAUCGCGCAUCAGCUAUGGCGCGGUGAAUACGUUCCCGGGCCUU
rnacentral:rRNA from 1 species